ACGGACUUCGGUCUGGUGGCGAGUGGCGAACGGGUGAGUAAUGUAUCGGAACGUACCUUUCAGUGGGGGAUAACGUAGCGAAAGUUACGCUAAUACCGCAUAUUCUGUGAGCAGGAAAGCAGGGGAUCGCAAGACCUUGCGCUGAUUGAGCGGCCGAUAUCAGAUUAGCUAGUUGGUGAGGUAAAGGCUCACCAAGGCGACGAUCUGUAGCGGGUCUGAGAGGAUGAUCCGCCACACUGGAACUGAGACACGGUCCAGACUCCUACGGGAGGCAGCAGUGGGGAAUUUUGGACAAUGGGGGCAACCCUGAUCCAGCCAUGCCGCGUGAGUGAAGAAGGCCUUCGGGUUGUAAAGCUCUUUCGGCCCGGGAAGAAAUCGCAUAGGUUAAUACCCCUGUGGUGGAUGGACGGUACCGGAAUAAAGAAGCACCGGCUAACUACGUGCCAGCAGCCCGCGGGUAAUACGUAAGGGUGCGAACGUUAAUCGGAAUUACUGGGCGUAAAGCCGUGCGCAGGCGGGUUCGUAAGACAGAGGUGGAAAUCCCCGGGGCUCCACCCUGGGGAACUGCCUUUUGUUGACCUGCGAAGCUAGAGUAC
rnacentral:rRNA from 1 species